rnacentral:rRNA from 1 species
AACGAACGCUGGCGGCAGGCCUAACACAUGCAAGUCGAACGCCGUAGCAAUACGGAGUGGCAGACGGGUGAGUAACGCGUGGGAACCUUCCCUAUGGUUCGGAAUAGCUCAGGGAAACCUGGGGUAAUACCGGAUAAGCCCUUCGGGGGAAAGAUUUAUCGCCAUUGGAUGGGCCCGCGUCGGAUUAGCUAGUUGGUGAGGUAACGGCUCACCAAGGCGACGAUCCGUAGCUGGUCUGAGAGGAUGAUCAGCCACACUGGGACUGAGACACGGCCCAGACUCCUACGGGAGGCAGCAGUGGGGAAUAUUGGACAAUGGGCGAAAGCCUGAUCCAGCCAUGCCGCGUGAGUGACGAAGGCCUUAGGGUUGUAAAGCUCUUUUGGCGGGGAAGAUAAUGACGGUACCCGCAGAAUAAGCUCCGGCUAACUUCGUGCCAGCAGCCGCCGUAA